UACGUAGGGUGCGAGCGUUAAUCGGAAUUACUGGGCGUAAAGCGUGCGCAGGCGGUUCGUUGUGUCGGCGGUGAAAGCCCCGGGCUUAACCUGGGAAUGGCCGUUGAAACUGGCGAACUGGAGUGUGGCAGAGGGGGGUGGAAUUCCGCGUGUAGCAGUGAAAUGCGUAGAUAUGCGGAGGAACACCGAUGGCGAAGGCAAUCCCCUGGGCCUGUGACUGACGCUCAG
rnacentral:rRNA from 1 species